AUUGAACGCUGGCGGCAUGCUUUACACAUGCAAGUCGAACGGUAACAGGCCGCAAGGUGCUGACGAGUGGCGAACGGGUGAGUAUUGCAUCGGAACGUGCCCAGUCGUGGGGGAUAACGCAGCGAAAGCUGUGCUAAUACCGCAUACGAUCUAUGGAUGAAAGCGGGGGACCGUAAGGCCUCGCGCGAUUGGAGCGGCCGACGUCAGAUUAGGUAGUUGGUGGGGUAAAGGCCUACCAAGCCGACGAUCUGUAGCUGGUCUGAGAGGACGACCAGCCACACUGGGACUGAGACACGGCCCAGACUCCUACGGGAGGCAGCAGUGGGGAAUUUUGGACAAUGGGCGCAAGCCUGAUCCAGCAAUGCCGCGUGCAGGAAGGAGGCCUUCGGGUUGUAAACUGCUUUUGUACGGAACGAAACGGUCUGGGUUAAUACCCUGGGCUAAUGACGGUACCGUAAGAAUAAGCACCGGCUAACUACGUGCCAGCAGCCGCAGUAACAC
rnacentral:rRNA from 1 species